rfam:Ovis aries breed Texel chromosome 3, whole genome shotgun sequence.
UUCCUGCUGGCUCAGACAGCAAAAGCAUCUGCCUACAAUGCGGGAGACCCGGGUUCAAUCCCUGGGUUGGGAA